GACGAACGCUGGCGGCGUGCUUAACACAUGCAAGUGGUGCGAGUGAGUUCUUCGGAACGAUCUAGCGGCGGACGGGUGAGUAACACGUGGGCAACCUGCCUCAUAGAGGGGAAUAGCCUCCCGAAAGGGAGAUUAAUACCGCAUAAAAUUAUCGAGUGGCAUCACAUGAUAAUCAAAGGAGUAAUCCGCUAUGAGAUGGGCCCGCGGCGCAUUAGCUAGUUGGUGAGGUAACGGCUCACCAAGGCGACGAUGCGUAGCCGACCUGAGAGGGUGAUCGGCCACAUUGGGACUGAGACACGGCCCAGACUCCUACGGGAGGCAGCAGUGGGGAAUAUUGCACAAUGGGGGAAACCCUGAUGCAGCAACGCCGCGUGAGUGAUGAAGGUCUUCGGAUUGUAAAGCUCUGUCUUUGGGGACGAUAAUGACGGUACCCAAGGAGGAAGCCACGGCUAACUACGUGCCAGCCGCCGCCGUAA
rnacentral:rRNA from 1 species